GACGAACGCUGGCGGCGUGCUUAACACAUGCAAGUCGAACGAGUGGCGAACGGGUGAGUAACACGUGGGUGAUCUGCCUUGCUCUUCGGGAUAAGCUUGGGAAACUGGGUCUAAUACCGGAUAGUGCAAGAUGAGCUCGCGGCAUAUCAGCUUGUUGGUGGGGUAAUGGGUACCAAGGCGCGACGGGUAGCCGGACUGAGAGGGUGUACGGCCACAUUGGGACUGGGAUACGGCCCAGGCGCCUACGGGAGGCAGCAGUGGGGGAGAGUGCACAAUGGGCGGAAGCCUGAUGCAGCGACGCCGCGUGGGGGAUGAAGGGCUUCGGGUUGGAAACUCCUUUCGGCGAGGACGCGGUACCUGUAUAAGAAGCACCGGCUAACUACGUGCCAGCAGCCGCGGUAAUUC
rnacentral:rRNA from 1 species